rnacentral:lncRNA from 1 species
GCAUAGGAGGAGAAGUAGGAAACAGUUUGGUUGUCUAUGGAAUGGAGAAAGCAUUCCUCUCCCAAAUUUAGAAGUCCAAAGGGGGUGAGAGCUGUUCUUAAAGCUCUCACCACUCUAAUGAGAGAAGCCAUGAGAGGAUGGAGGAAGGGGAGAGUCACCAUCAAGUGGUGCUCUAUGAACCUCCUCCAAGAGCAAUGGAGCCUGA